GGGUUCCAGGAAAUAGCCCCUCCAUUAUAGACCGUACCCUAAACCGACACAGGUGGAAUGGUAGAGUAUACCAAGGCGCUUGAGAGAAGUCUCCUGAAGGAACUCGGCAAAAUGCCUCCGUACCUUCGGAAGAAGGAGGCCCCACUUCUGGGCAACCAGUUGUGGGGGGCACAGGCCAGGGGGUAGCGACUGUUUAGCAAAAACACAGGGCUCUGCUAAGUCGGCUUCAAGACGACGUAUAGGGCCUGACGCCUGCCCGGUGCCUGAAGGUUAAGUGGAGUGGUGCAAGCUGCGAAAUGAAGCCCAGGUAAACGGCGGCCGUAACAAUAACGGUCCUAAGGUAGCGAAAUUCCUUGUCGGGUAAGUUCCGACCUGCACGAAUGGCGUAACGACUUCCCCACUGUCUCCAGGAGAUGCUCAGCGAAAUUGAAUUCUCCGUGAAGAUGCGGAGUACCCGCGGUUAGACGGAAAGACCCCGUGCACCUUUACUGCAGCUUCAGAGUGGCAUUAGGAAAGAACUGUGUAGCAUAGGUGGGAGGCUUUGAAGCCAGGUCGCCAGAUCUGGUGGAGCCAUAGGUGAAAUACCACCCUGUUGUUUUCUGAUGUCUAACCUCGAUCCAUGAAACUGGAUCAGGGACCCUCUGUGGCGGGUAGUUUGACUGGGGCGGUCGCCUCCUAAAGAGUAACGGAGGCGCGCGAUGGUAGGCUCAGGACGGUUGGAAACCGUCUGCAAGAGUGCAAUGGCAUAAGCCUGCCUGACUGCGAGACUAACGAGUCGAGCAGAGACGAAAGUCGGUCAUAGUGAUCCGGUGGUCCCGAGUGGAAGGGCCAUCGCUCAACGGAUAAAAGGUACGCCGGGGAUAACAGGCUGAUGAUUCCCAAGAGCUCAUAUCGACGGAAUCGUUUGGCACCUCGAUGUCGGCUCACCACAUCCUGGGGCUGGAGCAGGUCCCAAGGGUUUGGCUGUUCGCCAAUUAAAGUGGUACGUGAGCUGGGUUCAGAACGCCGUGAGACAGUUUGGUCCCUAUCUGCCGUGGGCGUCGAAAUUUGAGAGGAGUUGACCCUAGUACGAGAGGACCGGGUUGAACAUACCUCUGGUGUACCUGUCGUCACGCCAGUGGCGCAGCAGGGUAGCUAUGUAUGGACGGGAUAACCGCUGAAAGCAUCUAAGCGGGAAGCCUCCCUCAAGAUAAGAUUUCAUAGAGCCGUGGAAGACCACCACGUUGAUAGAUCGGAUGUAGAAGCGCGGU
rnacentral:rRNA from 1 species